rnacentral:lncRNA from 1 species
AUGCCUGGCCAUUUACAGGAAUGCUUCACCUGCAUGGUCAUCAGCCCAUUUAACCAGUUCUUUGAAGACGAAUUGGACCCAUUCAAGGUGCUGAAGGCAGCUGAGAACUAGAGAAAAUAAGCCAACGGGGGUGUCACUGGGGGAGCUGGGGCCAAAAGCUCAUCUCAGGCCAUGGCCCAGACCAACUCCAAUGCCACGGACAAACAGUUGUAUAAAGAGUCUCAGAAAGACAGCAAGAACCCACUUGCCCCAAAAGUUGGCAUGGUUGGCAAGAGGACAUAUAGUGCCCAUGGAGGUUAAGAAAGAAGGAAUAAGGUGAAUUGGAAGAAGACCCAAUCAACAACUGCAAGGUGAAGGGAAAAUAAUUGAGAUAAGACGGGGAAGGGCAACCACCUCAUGAAGGAAGAUUUGAAAAACCACUUGAAAAGGGUGAAAGAGGAAAAUUUUAUCUGAUAGACCUAUCAUUGACCAACCCAUUCGAGGCUGUGGUGGCCUUGGAAGAAGUAGAGAGGGCUGUCAAAGUGAAAUGGGCCAAGGGUAUGGAUUUUAUUUUUAUGGUAAAUGUGAAUUUGAUAGGCAUGCUGGUAGGCAUGCUGGAAGGCAUAGAUCUAGCCUGAAGCACAAGGACAAACAUGGAGGUAGUGGAUUUUACAACUGGGGAACUGUGAAUGAUAAGUUAACUGACUUGGAUUAAUCAAAUAUGACCUAGGAAACACCUGAAGGUGAAGAACUUCCAGUGGCAGACACUGAAAAUAAGGAGAAGGAAGUUUAAGAGGUAAAAAAGAGGGUCCAAAAGAGAUGACUUUGGAUAAGUGGAAUGCUAUUCAAAAUAAGGACUGGCCAAAAGUAGAAUUUAAUAUCCAAAAACAAAACAAAGGUACUGAUUGAUGGGCACUGGAAGAAGAGAUGUGCGCUUCAUAAAUCAAAGAGUAAAGAGAUUCAUGCUGAACUUGUCAUUAAGGACCAUCGUUUCUGAAAGCCAGCAAAUGAUAAAAUGUCUCAGCGGGAGAUCAAUUUUGGAGACCUCGGCCCUGGAGGACUUGGUGGGAGGGGAAGACAAGGUGAAUGUGUGGUGGACCUCAGAACCUCAGCAGCAGGACUGACAAGUCAGGUGCUUCUGUUCCUGAUAUGGAUGACCCAGAGGCAUUUCCAGCUCUGGCUUAA